rnacentral:rRNA from 1 species
AACGUAGGUUCCGAGCGUUAUCCGGAUUUACUGGGCGUAAAGCGCGUUCAGGCGGUUUGGCAAGUCGGGCAUGAAAUCUCUCGGCUCAACCGGGAGAGGUUGUCCGAUACUGCUGGACUUGGAGGGCAGUAGAGGGUGGUGGAAUUCCGGGUGUAGUGGUGAAAUGCGUAGAUAUCCGGAGGAACACCAGUGGCGAAAGCGGCUCACUGGACCACAACUGACGCU